UACGGGGGGGGGCAAGCGUUUGUUCGGAAUUACUGGGCGUAAAGGGCUCGUAGGUGGCCAACUAAGUCAGACGUGAAAUCCCUCGGCUUAACCGGGGAACUGCGUCUGAUACUGGUUGGCUUGAAUCCGGGAGAGGGAUGUGGAAUUCCAGGUGUAGCGGUGAAAUGCGUAGAUAUCUGGAGGAACACCGGUGGCGAAGGCGACAUCCUGGACCGGUAUUGACGCUGAGGCGCGAAAGCCAGGGGGAGCAAACGGG
rnacentral:rRNA from 1 species